CCUACGGGAGGCUGCAGUGGGGAAUAUUGCACAAUGGGGGAAACCCUGAUGCAGCGACGCCGCGUGAGUGAAGAAGUAAUUCGUUACGUACAGCUCUAUCAGCAGGGAAGAAAAUGACGGUACCUGAGUAAGAAGCCCCGGCUAACUACGUGCCAGCAGCCGCGGUAAUACGUAGGGGGCAAGCGUUAUCCGGAUUUACUGGGUGGAAAGGGAGCGUAGACGGGGCGGCAAGUCUGGAGUGAAAUGCCGCAGCUUAACUGCGGAACUGCUUUGGAAACUGGCAAACUAGAGUUCGGUAGGGGUAAGCGGAAUUCCUAGUGUAGCGGUGAAAUGCGUAGAUAUUAGGAGGAACACCGGUGGCGAAGGCGGCUUACUGGACCGUCACUGACGUUGAGGCUCGAAAGUGUGGGGAGCAAACAGGAUUAGAUACCCCAGUAGUC
rnacentral:rRNA from 1 species